GUAUAUCCGAGGAAGAGAUAAGUACGAAAAGCUUGCCUUGAACAGAGAGCCGGAGGAGCUGGAAACCGGUCUUGGCGAAUUUCGGAAAAUGGUCUUGGAGGAUCCGUUUUUGAGCGCUGCAGCCAGUGGCUGCCGUAAAGAAGCGGCGUGAGCCAGCGUUAAUGGACGCCGUAUGACGGCAGAUGAGCCUGUUGCCCGCAAGGGUACGGGGAAUUUGGGUGGUAACACGUGAGAAUAACUCUCGUCCCAUAG
rnacentral:ncRNA from 1 species